UAUGACAAAACAAAAAGACGGAGAGGAUCGGAGAUGCUUCUGCGGAUGAAGCCAGCGUACCUUCCUCUUCAGCUGCUGGAUCUCGGCCUGAGUCACGGCGUGCUUUAUUUGGAGCUGAACAAGAGGACCACAGAUGGUGGUGGAUCCGCGCACCUCUUUGUAUUUAUGGGCCAAUUUCUCGGGGUCCGUCUCCAGCGGCGACAGGUCCUCGUUUUCCGCUAAGUCGAACACCUCGAUGGCGCCUGUGUACGGCGGACUGACAUCUUCGUCCUCAUCCUCCUCCUCGUCGGUGCCGUACUCGCCACCCUGCCGAGACGGGAGUGUGACUACAAAGCGAACAAAAACUCUUAAUUAAAGAGCAGAGUGAAGACGACGUGAAUCGCGGCAGCUGGUCUUUAAGCCUUUCAAUUUUCGGGUAAUUAAAUGCGCGCACUUCCUGAUGUUUGUCGCCCCACUGUAUUAUUUUUUUUUUAUGACAAUCCAUAAUGCAUGAGCUGUCUGUGAAGGCCUCUGAUCUUCCAAGUCAUACAAUGGCACCAAAAGCAAGUCAUUAUGAAUGACGUGCAGACGUCACGUCAAAAGAGCCACCAAUGUGAUGCUGCGUUCAAGGCCAUAAGAUGAUGUUUCAGUGCAAAAGAAUUACACAUUGUAAUAAAUAAACUACAUAAAAACAUAAUUUUUGUUAAUAUGAGAUGUGAAGGUAGGUUAAUUGAAGACUCUAAAUUGCCCGUAGGUGUGAAUGUGAGUGCAAAUGGUUG